rnacentral:rRNA from 1 species
GACGAACGCUGGCGGCGUGCUUAACACAUGCAAGUCGAACGGAAAGGCCCUGCUUUUGUGGUGUGCUCGAGUGGCGAACGGGUGAGUAACACGUGAGUAACCUGCCCUUGACUUUGGGAUAACUUCAGGAAACUGGGGCUAAUACCGGAUAGGAGCUCCUGCUGCAUGGUGGGGGUUGGAAAGUUUCGGCGGUUGGGGAUGGACUCGCGGCUUAUCAGCUUGUUGGUGGGGUAGUGGCUUACCAAGGCUUUGACGGGUAGCCGGCCUGAGAGGGUGACCGGCCACAUUGGGACUGAGAUACGGCCCAGACUCCUACGGGAGGCAGCAGGGGGGAAUAUUGCACAAUGGGCGGAAGCCUGAUGCAGCAACGCCGCGUGCGGGAUGACGGCCUUCGGGUUGUAAACCGCUUUCGCCUGUGACGAAGCGUGAGUGACGGUAAUGGGUAAAGAAGCACCGGCUAACUACGUG